rnacentral:rRNA from 1 species
UACAGAGGGGGCAAGCGUUGUCCGGAAUUACUGGGCGUAAAGCGUCCGCAGGUGGCGGCGCAAGUGUGUUGUGAAAGCCCCGCGCUUAACGCGGGGAGGCCAAGACAGACUGCGCGGCUCGAGGGGUGCAGAGGGUCGUGGAAUUGCCGGUGUAGUGGUGAAAUGCGUAGAGAUCGGCAGGAACACCAAGGACGAAGGUAGCGACCUGGGCACCACCUGACACUCAGGGACGACAGCGUGGGGAGCAAACCGG